rnacentral:rRNA from 1 species
UGUGAGGGUUGCUGGAGGUAUCAGAAGUGCGAAUGCUGACAUAAGUAACGAUAAAGCGGGUGAAAAGCCCGCUCGCCGGAAGACCAAGGGUUCCUGUCCAACGUUAAUCGGGGCAGGGUGAGUCGACCCCUAAGGCGAGGCCGAAAGGCGUAGUCGAUGGGAAACGGGUUAAUAUUCCCGUACUUGGUGUUACUGCGAAGGGGGGACGGAGAAGGCUAUGUUGGCCGGGCGACGGUUGUCCCGGUUUAAGCGUGUAGGCUGGUUUUCCAGGCAAAUCCGGAAAAUCAAGGCUGAGGCGUGAUGACGAGGCACUACGGUGCUGAAGCAACAAAUGCCCUGCUUCCAGGAAAAGCCUCUAAGCAUCAGGUAACAUCAAAUCGUACCCCAAACCGACACAGGUGGUCAGGUAGAGAAUACCAAGGCGCUUGAGAGAACUCGGGUGAAGGAACUAGGCAAAAUGGUGCCGUAACUUCGGGAGAAGGCACGCUGACAUGUAGGUGAAGUGAUUUACUCAUGGAGCUGAAGUCAGUCGAAGAUACCAGCUGGCUGCAACUGUUUAUUAAAAACACAGCACUGUGCAAACACGAAAGUGGACGUAUACGGUGUGACGCCUGCCCGGUGCCGGAAGGUUAAUUGAUGGGGUCAGCGCAAGCGAAGCUCCUGAUCGAAGCCCCGGUAAACGGCGGCCGUAACUAUAACGGUCCUAAGGUAGCGAAAUUCCUUGUCGGGUAAGUUCCGACCUGCACGAAUGGCGUAAUGAUGGCCAGGCUGUCUCCACCCGAGACUCAGUGAAAUUGAACUCGCUGUGAAGAUGCAGUGUACCCGCGGCAAGACGGAAAGACCCCGUGAACCUUUACUAUAGCUUGACACUGAACAUUGAGCCUUGAUGUGUAGGAUAGGUGGGAGGCUUUGAAGUGUGGACGCCAGUCUGCAUGGAGCCGACCUUGAAAUACCACCCUUUAAUGUUUGAUGUUCUAACGUGGACCCGUGAUCCGGGUUGCGGACAGUGUCUGGUGGGUAGUUUGACUGGGGCGGUCUCCUCCUAAAGAGUAACGGAGGAGCACGAAGGUUGGCUAAUCCUGGUCGGACAUCAGGAGGUUAGUGCAAUGGCAUAAGCCAGCUUGACUGCGAGCGUGACGGCGCGAGCAGGUGCGAAAGCAGGUCAUAGUGAUCCGGUGGUUCUGAAUGGAAGGGCCAUCGCUCAACGGAUAAAAGGUACUCCGGGGAUAACAGGCUGAUACCGCCCAAGAGUUCAUAUCGACGGCGGUGUUUGGCACCUCGAUGUCGGCUCAUCACAUCCUGGGGCUGAAGUAGGUCCCAAGGGUAUGGCUGUUCGCCAUUUAAAGUGGUACGCGAGCUGGGUUUAGAACGUCGUGAGACAGUUCGGUCCCUAUCUGCCGUGGGCGCUGGAGAACUGAGGGGGGCUGCUCCUAGUACGAGAGGACCGGAGUGGACGCAUCACUGGUGUUCGGGUUGUCAUGCCAAUGGCACUGCCCGGUAGCUAAAUGCGGAAGAGAUAAGUGCUGAAAGCAUCUAAGCACGAAACUUGCCCCGA